rnacentral:rRNA from 1 species
AGAGUUUGAUCAUGGCUCAGGAUGAACGCUGGCGGCGUGCCUAACACAUGCAAGUCGAACGAAGCACUUUGCUUUGAAUUUUUCGGGAGGACGAGUGAUUUGACUGAGCGGCGGACGGGUGAGUAACGCGUGGGUAACCUGCCUCACACAGGGGGAUAACAGUUAGAAAUGACUGCUAAUACCGCAUAAGACCACAGCACCGCAUGGUGCAGGGGUAAAAACUCCGG